rnacentral:rRNA from 1 species
CGAUUCGUCUGCCCAAGGCAUAUCAGGUAGUAGUUGGGUCUGCGGCCUAUCAGGUAGUAGUGGGUGUAACGUACCUACUAGCCGACAACGGGUACGGGUUGUGAGAGCAAGAGCCCGGCCCUACGGGGUGCAACCAGCCCGAAAACUUUAAAAUGCCCGUGACCGCGAUAAGGGGAGCUCGAGUGCCAGGUGACAAAUCUGGCUGUCGUGAUGCCUAAAAAGCAUUGCAUAGCAAGGGCCGGGCAAGACCGGUGCCAGCAGCCGCGGUAA